AAUAUGCACAAUGGGGGAAACCCUGAUGCAGCCAUGCCGCGUGUGUGAAGAAGGCCUUCGGGUUGUAAAGCACUUUCAGUAGGGAGGAAGGUAGUGUAGUUAACACCUGCAUUAUUUGACGUUACCUACAGAAGAAGCACCGGCUAACUCCGUGCCAGCAGCCGCGGUAAUACGGAGGGUGCGAGCGUUAAUCGGAAUUACUGGGCGUAAAGCGCAUGCAGGUGGCCUGUUAAGUCAGAUGUGAAAGCCCGGGGCUUAACCUCGGAAUUGCAUUUGAAACUGGCAGGCUAGAGUCUUGUAGAGGGGGUAGAAUUUCAGGUGUAGCGGUGAAAUGCGUAGAGAUCUGAAGGAAUACCAGUGGCGAAGGCGGCCCCCUGGACAAAGACUGACGCUCAGAUGCGAAAGCGUGGGGAGCAAACAGGAUUAGAUACCCUGGUAG
rnacentral:rRNA from 1 species